GCCACGCGAGGGCGGUGCGACGAAGGAAACAAAAAGAGAGACAAUAGAAAUCAGGGAUCUUAAAACCUUGCCGGUCCACGCUCACCAAAGACCUGCAGAACCUUCACUCGAGCAGGGCAGAGAGAUGGCGAACGACGGCUUCGCGGCUGAGCUGGGCUGAGGCAGCUGCGUGGCCCACGCGGUGGACGAACUGGCGCUCCUCUCCGUCAUCCUCCCGACGGCAGGUGAGGCAGGAAGGCGGCGGAUUCGGAUAUCACGGCGCAACCUCCCUACUACUCCAGCUCGCGCGUGGCGGUGUGCAUCACGGCCUGAGAUGGAGACCCGGAUGCUGGCCGGGAGGGAAGGCGCAACAGUCGGAGAGCGUGGCCGACGAGCUGCAGCUGGAGGCACUCGGCUUGGAGGCGCGGUCGAGCUGGGGAGGGGAGAGAGCCCAGCGAGCGGGGAGGCGGAGCACGCUUGCGGGUGUAGAGACUAGAGAGAGGGGGCGCCGGGGAAGGGAGAGCUGGCCGACGGCGACGGGGUUCUUGCAAGCGAGAGGAGAGAGGAGAAGGGAAUCGAUGGAGGCAAACGGGGUCUCGGCCACAGGUUGGAGAGGAGCGGCGUGGGGCUUAUCCCCUCGCAUGCGUGUGUGGCCUGGGGCUUAUCCCCUCGCGUGCGUGUGUGUGGC
rnacentral:rRNA from 1 species